GAGGGGAUAGCUCAGGUGGUAGAGCACAUGCUUAGCAUACAUGUGGUCCCAGGUUCAAUCCCCAGUACCUCCU
rfam:Camelus ferus unplaced genomic scaffold scaffold1592, whole genome shotgun sequence.